rnacentral:rRNA from 1 species
UACGAAGGGGGCUAGCGUUGCUCGGAAUCACUGGGCGUAAAGGGUGCGUAGGCGGGUUUUUAAGUCAGGGGUGAAAUCCUGGAGCUCAACUCCAGAACUGCCUUUGAUACUGAAGAUCUUGAGUCCGGGAGAGGUGAGUGGAACUGCGAGUGUAGAGGUGAAAUUCGUAGAUAUUCGUAAGAACACCAGUGGCGAAGGCGGCUCACUGGCCCGGUACUGACGCUGAGGCACGAAAGCGUGGGGAGCAAACAGG